UACGUAGGGUGCGAGCGUUAAUCGGAAUUACUGGGCGUAAAGCGUGCGCAGGCGGUUGCCGUGUCCGAUCGUGAAGCCCAGGGCCGUAACCUGGGAAUGGCAUUGGAAACUGGCUGGCUGGAGUGUGGCAGAGGGGGGUGGAAUUCCACGUGUAGCAGUGAAAUGCGUAGAGAUGUGGAGGAACACCGAUGGCGAAGGCAGCCCCCUGGGCCAACACUGACGCUCAGGCACGAAAGCGUGGGGAGCAAACAGG
rnacentral:rRNA from 1 species